rnacentral:rRNA from 1 species
GUGGCGAGUGGCGAACGGGUGAGUAAUACAUCGGAAGUGCCCAGUCGUGGGGGAUAACGUAGCGAAAGCUACGCUAAUACCGCAUACGAACUCUGGUUGAAAGCGGGGGAUCGCAAGACCUCGCGCGAUUGGAGCGGCCGAUGGCAGAUUAGGUAGUUGGUGGGGUAAAGGCCUACCAAGCCGACGAUCUGUAGCUGGUCUGAGAGGACGACCAGCCACACUGGGACUGAGACACGGCCCAGACUCCUACGGGAGGCAGCAGUGGGGAAUUUUGGACAAUGGGCGCAAGCCUGAUCCAGCCAUUCCGCGUGCAGGAUGAAGGCCCUCGGGUUGUAAACUGCUUUUGUACGGAACGAAAAGGCUCUGGUUAAUACCCGGAGCUGAUGACGGUACCGUAAGAAUAAGCAC